AUUGAACGCUGGCGGCAGGCCUAACACAUGCAAGUCGAACGAGUGGCGGACGGGUGAGUAAUGUCUGGGAAACUGCCCGAUGGAGGGGGAUAACUACUGGAAACGGUAGCUAAUACCGCAUACCAUCGGAUGUGCCCAGAUGGGAUUAGCUAGUAGGUGGGGUAACGGCUAACCUAGGCGACGAUCCCUAGCUGGUCUGAGAGUAUGACCAGCCACACGGGAACUGAGGCACGGGCCUGAGUCCGACGGGAGGCAGAAGUGUGGAAUAUUGCACAAUGGGCGCAAGCCGGAUGCAGCCAUGCGGCGUGUAUGAAGAAGGCCUUCGGGUUGUAAAGUACUUUAAGCGAGGAGGCGUUACUCGCAGAAGAAGCACCGGCUAACUCCGUGCCAGCAGCCGCGGUAAUUC
rnacentral:rRNA from 1 species